GACAAACGCUGGCGGCGUGCUUAACACAUGCAAGUCGUACGGUAAGGCCCUUUCGGGGGUACACGAGUGGCGAACGGGUGAGUAACACGUGAGUAACCUGCCCACAACUUUGGGAUAACGCUAGGAAACUGGUGCUAAUACUGGAUAUGUGCUCCUGCUGCAUGGUGGGGGUUGGAAAGCUCCGGCGGUUGUGGAUGGACUCGCGGCCUAUCAGCUUGUUGGUGGGGUAGUGGCCUACCAAGGCGGCGACGGGUAGCCGGCCGGAGAGGGUGACCGGCCACAUUGGGACUGAGAUACGGCCCAGACUCCUACGGGAGGCAGCAGUGGGGAAUAUUGCACAAUGGGCGCAAGCCUGAUGCAGCAACGCCGCGUGCGGGAUGACGGCCUUCGGGUUGUAAACCGCUUUCAGCAGGGACGAAGCUUUUUGUGACGGUACCUGCAGAAGAAGCACCGGCUAACUACGUG
rnacentral:rRNA from 1 species